UAUCACGUUGAAUAAACUGGUUUUCGUACGAUCACCGAAGUUAAGCAACAUCGAGUCUGGUCAGUACCUAAAUGGGUGACCUCUUCGGAGUACCAGUUGCUGUAA